AACAGAAUCCGAUCAUAGGGGAGUUUCGAGAGAGAGAGAGAGGAAACAUACUUCCUCUUGAUAUCAUGUUCAUCUUCUGCAUCCCUCUCCUCCAUCUCUGCUUUCUCACUUUCGCUUUGGGUCCUUCCUCUGCUUUGAUUCCCAUCGCAAUACUCACUAUGAUAUAUUUCCAUGGCACUUAACUGAUAACGUUAAAGAAGGAAGCUUGGUUGACUUACAUCAGUUUCAACCACAGGAAGGCUAAUUCCACUUAGAUCUCUUGGCCAACUCCAUCCCUCCUUUCAAGAAUCGAGCAAAGAGCGAUGUAUCGUUCCAGAUGCUCCUGUUCGAGCUCAAAAGUUGCGCCAAGGUAUCAGAGAUUCUUGAGGAACUGAAGAAAGAUCCAGAGAGGCAUGGUGGGCCACCAGAUUGCAUUUGCAACUUAAAAAGCUCUUUCAUUGACAGACUAAAUUGCUUGUGUCGAGCUUUGUUGUUCAUGGAUAUGUAUUGAUUGGUUCAAAGCUCAUGUUGUGUUGAAUCAAGUAUUAACUGUGGUUGUCUAUCAGUGCAAGUCUAUAAGAAGCAAUCUAAUUAAUGAUGCAACGAAUAUAAAAACAUAAGCUUUCAAUGUUCUAAAGCUUCUCCUUUUGUUGCAGUAAUUGCGCAGAGAGUGAUACAACUGUUCCAGAUUCUCCUGCUCGAGCUGAAAAGUUUGCUGAAAGUUGGAACCUCUUAAAAUAUGGGGAGAUUCUUGAGGACUUGAAGAAUGAUCCGAAGAGCCAUGGGGAGAUUCUUGAAAACUUUUCUCUUACCAAGCU